CCCUUAGAUGUCCGGGGCCGCACGCGCGCUACACUGAAGGAAUCAGCGUGGCUUUCUCCCUGACCCGAAAGGGUUGGGAAACCCGUUGAAUCUCCUUCGUGAUAGGGAUUGGGGCUUGAAAUUGUUCCCCAUGAACGAGGAAUUCCCAGUAAGCGCGAGUCAUAAGCUCGCGUUGAUUACGUCCCUGCCCUUUGUACACACCGCCCGUCGCUCCUACCGAUUGAGUGUUCCGGUGAAUAAUUCGGACUGCAGCAGCGUGGGGACUCCUCAUACUGCAGCGGAAAGUUUGGUGAACCUUAACACUUAGAGGAAGGAGAAGUCGUAACA
rnacentral:rRNA from 1 species